rnacentral:rRNA from 1 species
GAUGAACGCUGGCGGCGUGCCUAAUACAUGCAAGUCGAGCGAACGGACGAGAAGCUUGCUUCUCUGAUGUUAGCGGCGGACGGGUGAGUAACACGUGGAUAACCUACCUAUAAGACUGGGAUACCUUCGGGAAACCGGAGCUAAUACCGGAUGAUAUUUUGAACCGCAUGGUUCAAAAGUGAAAGACGGUCUUGCUGUCACUUAUAGAUGGAUCCGCGCUGCAUUAGCUAGUUGGUAAGGUAACGGCUUACCAAGGCGACGAUGCAUAGCCGACCUGAGAGGGUGAUCGGCCACACUGGAACUGAGACACGGUCCAGACUCCUACGGGAGGCAGCAGUAGGGAAUCUUCCGCAAUGGGCGAAAGCCUGACGGAGCAACGCCGCGUGAGUGAUGAAGGUCUUCGGAUCGUAAAACCCUGUUAUUAGGGAAGAACAUAUGUGUAAGUAACUGUGCACAUCUUGACGGUACCUAAUCAGAAAGCCACGGCUAACUACGUG